rnacentral:tRNA from 1 species
UCGAAAAUCGGUAGACGCUACGGACUUCCACUUUGACGUGAGGGUUCAAGUCCCUCUAU